GGAUUUCGUUCUCCUUGUCUGGAUCAAAAUUUUAUCUAUAGCUGGAGUCAUCCAUUUUUUUUCUACUCAGAACACAUUAUUAUACACCAUGCUUAGUGUUGACUAAUUUUUCUCAAUUUUCCUGUUAAGGUCAAGAACACCAUCACCACCAAAGCGCAAAAAGUAAGCAUGUGUUUUUAAUAAAGUUCCACAUUUUCCCAUGACAUUCAUAUUUACAUGUUUAUGUUGUACAUUGUAUAACUUCAGGAUCCAGUCAUUGUGGGAUGUCCCACCUGUUGGCUUUGAGCAUAUGACCCCCAUGGAUUACAAAAAAAUGAGAG